rnacentral:rRNA from 1 species
GAUGAACGCUGGCGGCGUGCCUAAUACAUGCAAGUCGAGCGAACAGACGAGGAGCUUGCUCCUCUGACGUUAGCGGCGGACGGGUGAGUAACACGUGGAUAACCUACCUAUAAGACUGGGAUAACUUCGGGAAACCGGAGCUAAUACCGGAUAAUAUAUUGAACCGCAUGGUUCAAUAGUGAAAGACGGUUUUGCUUUCACUUAUAGAUGGAUCCGCGCCGCAUUAGCUAGUUGGUAAGGUAACGGCUUACCAAGGCAACGAUGCGUAGCCGACCUGAGAGGGUGAUCGGCCACACUGGAACUGAGACACGGCCCAGACUCCUACGGGAGGCAGCAGUAGGGACUCCUCCGCAAUGGGCGAAAGCCUGACGGAGCAAAGCCGCGUGAGUGAUGAAGGUCUUCGGAUCGUAAAACUCUGUUAUUAGGGAAGAACAAAUGUGUAAGUAACUAUGCACGUCUUGACGGUACCUAAUCAGAAAGCCACGGCUGACUACGUG